AGAUACUGGAGAAUCAGGUUAAUGGGGGUAGUUAGAUACUGGAGAAUCAGGGUAACGAGGGGAUAUGAGGAGCGAUUGGAGGUAGUUAGAUACUGGAGAAUCAGGUUAAUGGGGAGAGAUGGGAGGUAGUUAGAUACUGGAGAAUCAGGUUAAUGGGGAGAGAUGGGAGGUAGUUAGAUACUGGAGAAUCAGGUUAAUGGGGAGAGAUGGGAGGUAGUUAGAUACUGGAGAAUCAGGUUAAUGGGGAGAGAUGGGAGGUAGUUAGAUACUGGAGAAUCAGGUUAAUGGGGAGAGAUGGGAGGUAGUUAGAUAUGAAGAGAGAUGGAAGGUAGUUAGAAGAUAUAAAAUGUGAAGAUUUUAACACUGAUGCCAAAGACACACUUUGAAACACCUUCACGACAGAAGCUCAAGCAGAUGGAAAAUGUGAGAUUUGACUCUGAAAGAAAUGAAUGUUUUGUCCUGAAUAGAAUGUUGCCAUUUAUAUGUCAGAGCAAAAGCUCAGCAGGAAAAUACUGUAUUACUAGAUUGGGAAUCAAAACUGUCCCCUGGGAUAUUUUUGGCAGCACAACACCGUGUCAUCUGAAUGUUAAAUCGUGAUUUAUACUGUCUAUUUACAUUUAAUUCAGACAAGAGCUGAAAUAUUAGUAACAUGCUUGUCUCUAUGGUAAUAUACAGUAUAUUAUAAUGGUAACAUAUCAUGCUUGUCUCUAUGGUAAUAUACAGUAUAUUAUAAUAUUAGUAACAUAUCAUGCUUGUCUCUAUGGUAAUAUACGGUAUAUUAUAAUAUUAGUAACAUGCUUGUCUCUCUGGUAAUAUACAGUAUAUUAUAAUAUUAGUAACAUGCUUGUCUCUAUGGUAAUAUACAGUAUAUUAUAAUAUUAGUAACAUGCUUGUCUCUAUGGUAAUAUACAGUAUAUUAUAAUAUUAGUAACAUGCUUGUCUCUAUGGUAAUAUACAGUAUAUUAUAAUGGUAACAUAUCAUGCUUGUCUCUAUGGUAAUAUACAGUAUAUUAUAAUAUUAGUAACAUGCUUGUCUCAUUGGUAAUAUACAGUAUAUUAUAAUAUUAGUAACAUGCUUGUCUCUAUGGUAAUAUACAGUAUAUUAUAAUAUUAGUAACAUGCUUGUCUCUAUGGUAAUACAGUAUAUUAUAAUAUUAGUAACAUGCUUGUCUCUAUGGUAAUAUACAGUAUAUUAUAAUAUUAGUAACAUAUCAUGCUUGUCUCUAUGGUAAUAUACAGUAUAUUAUAAUAUUAGUAACAUAUCAUGCUUGUCUCUAUGGUAAUAUACAGUAUAUUAUAAUAUUAGUAACAUGCUUGUCUCUAUGGUAAUAUACAGUAUAUUAUAAUAUUAGUAUCAUGCUUGUCUCUAUGGUAAUACAGUAUAUUAUAAUAUUAGUAACAUGCUUGUCUCUAUGGUAAUAUACAGUAUAUUAUAAUAUUAGUAACAUGCUUGUCUCUAUGGUAAUAUACAGUAUAUUAUAAUGGUAACAUAUCAUGCUUGUCUCUAUGGUAAUAUACAGUAUAUUAUAAUAUUAGUAACAUGCUUGUCUCUAUGGUAAUAUACAGUAUAUUAUAAUAUUAGUAACAUAUCAUGCUUGUCUCUGGUAAUAUACAGUAUAUUAUAAUAUUAGUAACAUGCUUGUCUCUAUGGUAAUAUACAGUAUAUUAUAGCAUUAUAGAGAUAUAUGGAGUGCAGGACUAGGACUAUAGACAGUAUAUUAUAGCGUUAUGGAGAUAUAUGGAGUGCAGGACUAGGACUAUAGACAGUAUAUUAUAGCGUUAUGGAGAUAUAUGGAGUGCAGGACUAGGACUAUAGACAGUAUAUUAUAGCGUUAUGGAGAUAUAUGGAGUGCAGGACUAGGAGUAUAUACAAGCCAGCGUCACUGUAUUACAAUUAAUAGCUAUUGAGUUAAUGAAUAUAUUUAUUCCAUAUCAUGAUUAUGUCUUUCACUACUGUAGAGAGAGAAUUCUCCCCUUUAAAAACUUCUAGUAUGUGCUUGGCCAUUCUGAGCCUUAUGAGUCGAUGGUCUACCAUUCUGAGCCUUAUGAGUCGAUGGUCUACCAUUCUGAGCCUUAUGAAUGGAUGGUCUACCAUUCUGAGCCUUAUGAAUGGAUGGUCUACCAUUCUGAGCCUUGUGGAUGGAUGGUCUACCAUUCUGAGCCUUGUGGAUGGAUGGUCUACCAUUCUGAGCCUUGUGGAUG
ensembl:lncRNA